AGUGAUUCAACCGCGCCACCGAGCGCGGAGCUGCCCUGGAGGACGCAGGCGGGUCUAGUUGCCCGGGUCCCCCAAGGCCCCCGGAUUCACCCAGGCCCGCGACUCCGACGUGCAGCUUAGGUGGGUUGCAGGUCUAUGGCAGGAAAGGGAGGGCGCCUUGGAAGAAUUCUUCCCUUCCAUUUGGUGAUAAAGUGGGAGAGGCGGCAUUUACAACAUUUAAUAGAAAGCACGGGCUCUGGGCUCCCCUCGGGCAGCGGAGGGCAUUUCCCGGAUGCUUUGCCCACCUGGGGCAGAAGCUCGGGACCUGCAGCGAAGUAAACGUGUGGCUGUGAGCAGGGCCCUCUCCCAGCCACGGUGGCUUCUUCUACCCCACGAAGGUCAAGAAUACCUGGCCUGCCCACCUCGCGGGGCCCUUAGCGGGUCGCACAGGAGAAAGGCGGUGGGAAUGCCGGUGUCAGCCACGGUGUGACCGGCUCGGCUCACAGGUCUGAGGGUCAGUUGGCUCAGGCAUCGCCCGGUACGACCAGAGAUAGUGACUGAGGAAGAGCAGCCUCACAUCUGGCAGUUUGCCUCUGGGAGAAUUCCAGCGUGACAUCUGCAGCUCUGUGGUUCCAGAAAGGAUGGUUCCCACAUUGAAGAAGACAUCUGUGGGACUGAGUUCCACCGAAAUGCAGAGGAACCAAAAAUGAAAAUGAAAAAUGUAACCAGAGUUGUGUGCCACUAGUUUUAAGCUUUGGUUUUUCUAAAUUAUUUUCUGGCUUCUCCUUCUGGGCUUUGCUGUAAACUUGCCAAGCAUGAGAACAACUCUUCAUCUAUUGAGUGGCAUUUUAAGCCAUCCUGUCAAAGUAUCUCCUGUCAUUUUUAUUAUUAUUACUCUAUAUUGCCUGCAAGACACGACUGGAGAAUUCUUAGUGCUCUAGCCUGAGUCAUUUUCCCUAAGAGAUCUUCAGCUCCACCUGGGAUGUGAUUCUUUGCUCUCUGGGAUUGAAGGUAGCUGAAGAGAAAUAGUUACACUUCAGGUUUGUUACAAGACCCAAGAAAUUGUUGCAAUUCCACUUGGAGUCACUGACUUUUCUGAAAUCAUAUAGGGCUUUAAACAAUGUCAAGAUCAGCCAUUUGAUAAGAAAAAUGUUUACCAUUGGAUUGUGAUACACAAUGUGCCUUAAAUAUUGAUAAAUUAGAUGAAUAUUUAUUUUGUAUAUCCAUUAAAAUAGACAGGAAAGAGAAGA
ensembl:lncRNA novel transcript